UCCUGUGUGGCUCAGUUGGUAGAGCAUGGUGUUUGCAACGCCAGGGUUGUGGGUUCGAUUCCCACGGAGGAU
rnacentral:tRNA from 1 species